rnacentral:lncRNA from 1 species
UCUCGCCCGCUGGAGCAGCACUGAGCUCCACCCAUCUGUGGGUGUCAGGCAGCCUGGCGGGCACCCUGGCCUCCGAUCUGCCUUGGUCAGAGAAGGAGACCCUGCAGCCAGCUGAUCUCCACUGAAUGACACUGUGAUGAAAUCACUUUAAUGUCCUUGCCAAGGAAAUGCCCAAGACACUGGCAGGUGGGCAAGGUCUCCACACACUGGUCCAGC